GACGAACGCUGGCGGCGUGCCUAAUACAUGCAAGUCGAGCGGACGAAUCGAAAGCUUGCUUUUGAUUCGUUAGCGGCGGACGGGUGAGUAACACGUGGGCAACCUGCCCUGUAGACGGGGAUAACACCGAGAAAUCGGUGCUAAUACCGGAUAACACGAAAUGUCGCAUGACGUUUCGUUGAAAGACGGCGCAAGCUGUCGCUACAGGAUGGGCCCGCGGCGCAUUAGCUAGUUGGUGAGGUAACGGCUCACCAAGGCGACGAUGCGUAGCCGACCUGAGAGGGUGAUCGGCCACACUGGGACUGAGACACGGCCCAGACUCCUACGGGAGGCAGCAGUAAGGAAUCUUCCGCAAUGGACGAAAGCCUGACGGAGCAACGCCGCGUGAGCGAAGAAGGCCUUCGGGUCGUAAAGCUCUGUUGUUAGGGAAGAACAAGUAACGCAGUAACUGGCGUUACCGUGACGGUACCUAACGAGAAAGCCACGGCUAACUACGUG
rnacentral:rRNA from 1 species